GCAAAAUGGCCGAAGGCUUUCCCUGCUUCCCCUUAAAAAGUUGAAACCCCUUUCAAUUCGUCUCAGUGUCCCAAUCACCCUUCACAAAUUUGACCCCAAACCCACCACUCUGCUUCUACGACCUAACCCAGAUCUACUUCCUUUGUUCUUUAAGGAGUUCUGGAUCAGAAAACAACACUUACCUACAUGAAAGACUGCUCUUGUCCUGAAAGGAGAUGCUAUAGAGAUUGAUGUCGUUUGAGCUGUUUGAUGUUCAUUCUGGACGGUAUAUGUUGCACUAAACGAUGAUGGAAAUUGAAUAGGAUUAAAGGCAUACGAAUUUAACAAUGGAACGAAGCUGCCAGCAUCGGAUGGCAAAGGUAUGAGCAGUACUCAAACACAAGAUAGUAUUACAAUGAAGCCUAUUGAUCAAAGAGACCGCACUAGGGUUCGUAGUGACAUUCAUACUCGUCGCCUAAAGAACCGAGAACGACAACGUAGAUAUAGGGCCCGUAAGCGGCUUGAAGCGGAAUUGAAUAAUUCCAGCACUGCAAAGCCCUCAGUUUCACCAGAUGUACAGGUGCAAAUUAAUGGAAGUGUUUGCAAUUACACACCCCGUGUGCAUUGCAAACGGAAUUGGAAAAAAGAUGCAAGGAGAGCUCAUGUUUCCAAUGAUCCUGAAGUUACAGUUAUUGCUUAUUCUGCCCCUACUUUGAUGUCAACCAGUGCAAGUCAAGCUGUGUUUUUGUCUGGAACUACAGCAGAACCAAAAGCUGAGAGUGAAACAUAUUCAGAGGCAUCUGUUGACCCAAAAAGCAGUGAAUUGAAUAGACUUAAACUGGAAAGAAGAGAUUGGAAAGCAGAAGCAAGAAAGAAGCAUAUCUGAAGCAAAUGUUAACCAUCCUACUUUAGUGGAACGGUAAGUUUAUGGAUUCAGGUUGAUAACGUACUAUUCUAUCAAUUAGGAUGGUAAACUGUAAACAGUUGUAAUUGUCUGUGCAAGUUCUGCUUUUGCUUAGGAAUGGGGAAAACGUGCAGCUAAUUCCUUAGUUGGUAAUUGUUGAAUUGCAGAAAUGGAAGCCUAACAGUGCCAGAAAAUAACUCUUGGGAGUCUGUACUGUUUUAGUUAGAAUCAUAUCUGUAGUCUAAUGUAUGAGUAUUGUUAAUAUGAGGAUUGUUGUCAGAUGUUUCAUCUCUAAUAACUCGUGGGGUUUGAAUAUUUUCUUAUUAGAAAGCAAUGCAUUUUCUAUUGUUUCUGAACUUCAGUUUACAUGUUUCAAAUAUAUGUAUUUGUAGAUAGGCA